rnacentral:lncRNA from 1 species
AUUUGGACUGCCACCGGAAAAGGAGGGUAUAUUGGAUAGGGACAGAAAUUUUACCUUGCAACAGGCCACCUACGGACCCCUCAAAGAGUUGUUGCAAGGGUUCUUAACGUGCAAAGAGCGUGGCACUCUCUGUACACGAGACAUCGGAUUUAACGUCCCCCUUCUGACCGGACGUGACUGCGAACUUGAUACAUCCCGCACAGCCAAACGGACGCCCCC